GAUGAACGCUGGCGGCGUGCCUAAUACAUGCAAGUCGAGCGAACAGAUGAGAAGCUUGCUUCUCUGAUGUUAGCGGCGGACGGGUGAGUAACACGUGGGUAACCUACCUAUAAGACUGGGAUAACUCCGGGAAACCGGGGCUAAUACCGGAUAAUAUUUUGAACCGCAUGGUUCAAUAGUGAAAGACGGUUUCGGCUGUCACUUAUAGAUGGACCCGCGCCGUCUUAGCUAGUUGGUAAGGUAACGGCUUACCAAGGCGACGAUACGCAGCCGACCUGAGAGGGUGAUCGGCCACACUGGAACUGAGGCACGGUCCAGACUCCUACGGGAGGCAGCAGUAGGGAAUCUUCCGCAAUGGGCGAAAGCCUGACGGAGCAACGCCGUGUGAGUGAUGAAGGUCUUCGGAUCGUAAAACUCUGUUGUUAGGGAAGAACAAAUUUGUUAGUAACUGAACAAGUCUUGACGGUACCUAACCAGAAAGCCACGGCUAACUACGUGCCAGCCGCCGCGGUAA
rnacentral:rRNA from 1 species